rnacentral:rRNA from 2 species
UAGGGAAUCUUCGGCAAUGGACGAAAGUCUGACCGAGCAACGCCGCGUGAGUGAAGAAGGUUUUCGGAUCGUAAAACUCUGUUGUUAGAGAAGAACAAGGACGUUAGUAACUGAACGUCCCCUGACGGUAUCUAACCAGAAAGCCACGGCUAACUACGUGCCAGCAGCCGCGGUAAUACGUAGGUGGCAAGCGUUGUCCGGAUUUAUUGGGCGUAAAGCGAGCGCAGGCGGUUUCUUAAGUCUGAUGUGAAAGCCCCCGGCUCAACCGGGGAGGGUCAUUGGAAACUGGGAGACUUGAGUGCAGAAGAGGAGAGUGGAAUUCCAUGUGUAGCGGUGAAAUGCGUAGAUAUAUGGAGGAACACCAGUGGCGAAGGCGUCUCUCUGGUCUGUAACUGACGCUGAGGCUCGAAAGCGUGGGGAGCAAACAGG